rnacentral:rRNA from 1 species
AACGUAGGUGGCAAGCGUUAUCCGGAAUUACUGGGCGUAAAGGGUGUGCAGGCGGGGUGGCAAGUGGUGUAUGAAAUAUCCCAGCUUAACUGGGAGGGGUUAUGCCAGACUGCUACUCUAGAGGACGAGAGAGGGGCGUGGAAUUCCGGGUGUAGUGGUGAAAUGCGUAGAGAUCCGGAGGAACCCCAGAGGCGAAGGCGACGCCCUGGCUCACAACUGACGCUCAUACACGACAGCAUGGGGAGCGAACGGG